UCUGAAUGAUUCUAUUUUCAUCUGUGCUUUGACAUUCCUCUGUUUUCACUGCUAUGAUGCUGGCACAGUGACGAGAUGCCUUUCAUUACAUUUAAGUUUUGAAAAACAAAUUAUAUCUAUUUAGCUAGUUAUAUAUAUAUAUUUUUUGGUGAACAACCAAGGUAUCCACCGCCGAUAGCAAUGACUAAUCCACUCGUUUCGGGUGCUCCACUUAAGGGUAAAGGGUUGGCUAAAAAUCUCUUUCCAUUCCUAAAGGUUGAGGAUUGAACCCCCGACCGAUUGGUUAAGAGAUAAAGUGAGCAACCACUAUGUCAAGACCAUUUGGAAUUGUCUGCUUUAUCAUCUGGUCCCCUUGUUUGUAUGAUGCAUAUAAAAGCUUUUUGUGGUCACUAAUUAUAGUAUCAUAGAAUUACUUUUGAGGAACAAUAUUGGACCUGUUGCUCUAGGAGAAAGAACACAAACUUUUUACAGAGGAUUGUGGAAUAUCCCUCCCAAUUGUUUGAUAAUGCCUUAAAUUGCUUGCUAGAGAUAUAAGAAUCUGUUCUCUCAUCACCUUGUUUGAUGGGAUUUGUACCCUUACUAGUGGUGGCAAUGUUUUAUUGUGCAGGAAAAAACCACUUGGUUAGGUCCUUCUCUCAUCCACUAGUGGAUGUAGAUAACACAUUGUUCGUAAGCUAUGUAAAAAUCUUUGUGCUGUUCUUGAUUGUUUUCAUGAUCUUAUGCAUAUCAGCCAUAACAUACAACUAAGCUAAUACUCCUCAAAACAAUUGAAGGAUUUAUGAUUGAGAAAGGAAACGUGAUAUGUUUCUACUAGUUUGAUAAGGGUAACAAAUGAGGGGAUUGUGUUUUCCUCUGGAAAUGGUAUUUGUUACUUAACACUCAUACCAAACCAUUAGACAUAAAAACGCUUCUUUGUUACUAGAAAAUUUGCGGUUGUUAGAAAUGUUCUAAUCAUAUUUUUGGUUGUACUAGAAAAUGUUCCCAUAGUACUAUUAAAAGCUUUGUUGGUUCCACCAGCUCCUAUGGGUGUCCAAUUUGCACUACUCCUGUUCGUGGUCGAGCGUUUCUCUCUUUUUGCAUAAAACUCUAUAUCCCAUCUGAAAGCAGAAAAGAAAUUAAACUGCAAACGAGCAUGAAGCCACCAUACUUCUGAGCAGCCUGAAAACUAUCAAUGAUUCCGUCUCUUGGAGGAUGAACAUGAAUAUGGUGAGGCUUCCCGGCCCUUCCAUUUCGUCUGUCGUAUUUCUCCAACAACAUGAAAGCCUCCAUACUAAUUUUUGAAAGAUUGCUAGGAGGUGCCAUUAUAGUAUUUUUGAACUCCUACAGAGCUUCUGUUAGAAGUUGAUAUUUUGUUAUGGUGCUAGAAGUGACACUUUGCUGUGGAUUGUGUUGUUACCUUGAGUUGCCUCACCUAUAAAUAUCAAUAGAAUGAUUGACUUUACAUAUUCUUA